UUCCGAAUAAUUGGAAGUUGUUGCGGCUAUGAAAACAAACACGGCGCAGUCAAACGGAAAACAGAGCGCGUCAGGGACGUGUAGUAGGAAGGAAACGUGAUUCACGGUUGACAUUAGUUUGUCUCGAAUUUGUUGAUUUCACUGUACCGUUAGUCGAUCGAAGGUCUUCAGGAAAUAAAAUCUCACUGAGGUAUUCUCAACAUAACAUCAGUGUGACAUGCUCAAUCGAUUGCACUCUUCCCCGGCUGACCUUCUCGAAAUAUGUACAAAAUCCGAAUAAUCCUCGGUCGUCCAGCGACAACUUCCGGCACUCUCAAUGCCUUAUCGAUUAUUUGGGUACGAGUAGCCACAAAUAACAGUCGGUUGCUUAUAACAUACCUCUACACGAGUAAAACUGUACAAGAUGCUUACGUCUGAAUAAUUUCAAUCACAGUAAAGAUUGUGCAGAGCCGUCGUCAUUCUAUUCUCUCUGAUGUCUUCGUUUUCUUUCUCGACCACUGCUCAAAAUAAUUAGUAUUCUUUUUUUUUUUAUAGUAAAAUAUCGUUACAACAAAGUCAAAAGACGAAAAUUUUCUGUUCAAGAUGGAAAG
rnacentral:misc_RNA from 1 species